rnacentral:lncRNA from 12 species
GCCAGCGUCACAGCCUCGGCCGUCGGGGUGCGCGUGGUGCACGUGGUGCGCGUGGUGCACGUGGUGCGUUUCCUUAAUAAGAACCGCUGCUGCUUUCCAAGCUCGCGGAGGGGGUGCGGGAGCAUAGCAUCCCCGGGGGGCUCCGGAGCCCUGGCACCCUUGCUCUGAGGCCGUCCCUCCGCGUGCCUGACGUGCGUCUCCGCCCGGGGGCCCCGCUCCACCCUCGCUGCUGGGGCUCCGGGCGCUCUCUCGCGGGGACCCUCUGGAGCCUCCGUCCUCUACCUCCCCGGGGCUGAGGUCUGGGAGGCCGACCCCGGGCCGCAGAGAGCGCCCGCCUUCCUCGCAGCUGCACGUGGAGCGGGAAGACGGAGUUGGGAGCGGAGCUGAGCGGGGGUCUGAGGCGGAGCAGUCGGCGUCCGGGUCUCGCCGCGGGGGCGUUCGCUGUGAGCGCCCCGGUCAAGCGCCGCUGCCCCCGGGCCUGUCGCCGCCCCCGAGCCCGCGGCCCGGCCAUUCCCUGGGAGUCGGGAGCCUUGAGGCUGCGGUGACCCCGCGCAGCAUCUGCUUGUUAUGUAAUGUGACAACACGGGGAUGAAAUAGAAACCAGAUGUCGGGGCGGGGCCACGCAGUCCUCAUCAGUGGGCGCCGGCAGGGCCCGGCUCCACUCUCCUCCGUUCCAGGCCCACGGCCCCGGGACGACGGGCUCCGGGGGGGCGCCUGGACCCAACCGAAGCCUUGGCUGACUGAGGCCCUGAUCCAGUGCCAUCCGCUCUCCUGAGAAACUGCACGGGAUUUUCCGCGCCCUGUUACGCGAUGUGCGAUCAUGGAAAAGGAGAAAAGCAAGAAGAGAGUUCUGGAAAAAGUCUGUAAGAACUGGUGAGGGGAAAACUGGGCGUUUUCACAGCUGCCCGGGCCUCGCGGGGAGUCGGAGGUGUGCUCUUUCCACUCGUGUGUUCUCAUUCCCGUCCGCAGGACGCUCGGGCCGCUUCCCCCACGUUCCUGGAGCACAGGCGGCGGCCGCUGCGAGGCUGUUUUUUCCUGCUCACUUGGAGGAAGAGGAAAAGACACCACAACACAAAGAUGGCUUUGUGAACGAGGGACCUCCCGGGUCCUCUGAUCCAGAACUUUCCGCGAUGGUGGAAGUGGCCUGUAGCUGCUGUGCCAGACACGGUCGCCCCUGGCCUUGGGUGGCGGCGGAGCGCUCAGAUGUGGCCGGGGGGACCGGGGAGCAGAACUUUACAUUUAAUUUAAUUUGAAUUAAUUUUAAUUUAAGUAGCCACCUGUGGCUAGUGGCCACUUAGAGUCCACACCAAGGAAGGCUCUGGAAGGAGGACUUGAGGCUCUGUUCUUUAUUCAGUUAUUUGAAAAUAGAAGGCUUAAUCCGUUUGAAUUUCCUGGUUGGAUUAAAAAAGAGGGUUGCUUGUGCUGGGAAUAUUUUCACAGUGAGUGGCCUGGGCGGUGUCGGCACAGUGCUCGGUUUACGGCUCUUCUCCAGGCUGUUUGGGAGAUGGCACGAGGGAGAUCCUGUGUCACAGACGGGCACACCGACGGUUCCAGGCGGGGCUCACGUGGUCACGAGGGGCACACGUGCCCUCAGUGGUGCGUACAAGGGGGCCAUCGAGGG